UACAGAGGUCUCGAGCGUUAGGCGGAAUCACUGGGCUUAAAGCGUGUGUAGGCGGAUCGUUAAGUGCCUUGUGAAAUCCCACGGCUCAACCGUGGAACUGCUUGGCAUACUGGCGGUCUUGAGCAACCUAGGGGCGAGCGGAACAAAUGGUGGAGCGGUGAAAUGCGUAGAUAUCAUUUGGAACGCCAAUGGUGAAAACAGGUAGCUGGGAGUGUGCUGACGCUGAGACACGAAAGCCAGGGGAGCAAACGGG
rnacentral:rRNA from 1 species